CAAGCCUGCCUGGUGAGGUGAUGUGACUUGUGGUGAUUGGUUGAGGCAUGGUUGUGGCUUGAGUGGAUAAAAACGCUUGUACCCCGAGGCGCGGGGGAUUUGAAGAGAGAAGCUGCCUGAGUAAACUACAUUAAGAAGAACAGUUUUAACUGCAUUAAGAAGUUGCAUUUUCCUUGCUGGUUGAGUUGGACGCAACAAGUGGUGCUGAAACCCGGGACCCGACUCCCCCACCGAAGAGGUUCAGAACUUUCUGCAGUCAGGGUCUGUCAACAGGAUAAGUACGGUAAGUAACUCACCAUAUGGUAAAGAGAUAAUAAGGCUCUCGGUAAAGAGACAAUAAGGCUCUCGGUAAGAGACAAUAAAGCUCUCCGGGUCUGGAGACGAGAAAGUGGAAGUAAGAGGGUAAUGAAAGUAAGAGGGUAAUAGGGACAGUCUAUGGAUUACUUUCUUUUUCUAGCCAUUUGGGUAAUUUUUCUUACUGCCUUUUGGUUUAAGGACUGGCCAAAAGGAUGGUCGAUUCAGGAGUCAGAACAAAUAUUACAAGACCUGGGCUAUGCAAAGAGCCCAGACAUAAGUGCCAGGAUGCUCCCUUGGAAAGAUAAGGAAGGGCAUGAUGGGAAUGUUUCAACCAUAUGUGUUUGAGCUACCCAUUACCUUAUGGGGUAGGGAUUUGUUAAAAAUAGUGUCCUAUUUAGGAGCAAGGUUCGCUCCUACGGCCGUUUGGCCUCAAAAGAUACAAUUGAGGGUUGAUUCCUUGCAUACUUUAAAUGAUUUUCAGAAAUUAUUAGGCGAUAUCAAUUGGAUUCGGCCCUAUUUGAAGAUCCCAAAUGUUAAAUUAAAACCUCUGUUUCAAAUUUUAGAAGGAGACUCAGAGUUAAGUUCCAAAAGGGAAUUAACACCUGAGGCUAGAAAGGCCCUUGCCCUAGUGGAAGAAGAAUUGAUUAAAGCCCAGCUUCAGCAUUGUAGAGAAGGGUUACCCAUCAUUUUGAUAAUAUUACCUACUGAGAUGCAACCCACAGGAUUAUUGUGACAAGAAGGCCCAUUGUUAUGGAUCCAUUCCAAAAUAUCCGCUGAGAGGACAUUAGAUCAUUACCCUACAACAGUGGCUUCUUUAGCCUUGUUGGGAAUUCAGCAUUGUUUACAAUUUUUUGGUAUAAAACCCAGCUCCAUUGUAAUCCCUUAUGAUGGGUAUCAGCAAAAGGUCCUAACAGCCAAUAUUGAUGAGUGGGCUAUUUUAGCCUGUAUUAAUGAGGGCCCAUUUGAUAAUCAUUAUCCCAAACAUCCGUUAAUGACCUUUUUUAAGGAUCAUUCAGUCAUUUUCCCUCAAGUGGUGAGGAAAACACCCAUUAAGGAUGCAGUUAACGUGUUUACUGAUGGAUCAAAAACCGGAUGUGGAGUAUAUAUGGUAGGGGGGAAAGAUCCUGUGGUCAGGCAGUAUUAUCCCUGUACUCCACAGAUGGUGGAAUUACAAAUAGUUAUUGAGAUCAUUAAGGACUGUGAUUUUCCUUUUAAUCUAAUUUCAGAUUCACAAUAUGUAGUUAAUUUAGUUUUAUCCCUAAAAGUGGCUGGCCAAAUAAAAGCUCGUAGUACCAUCUAAGCCUUGGCCUUACAAUUACAGAAGUUGCUGUGGGAAAGACACCAACCAUUAUAUAUUGGACAUGUCCGUGCCCAUAGUGGGCUUCCAGUACCCUUAAGUAGGGGAAAUGAUAUUGUGGAUAAUUGUACUCGUAUGGAGUUCAUAUUUUUAGCAUCCCCUAUGGAGUUAGCCUCACAAUUUCAUUCUAAAUUUCAUGUUAAUGCUAAAACUCUGCAGAGAAAAUUUGGAAUCUCUAGAGCACAAGCUCGGGAUGAAGUCACUACCUGUGGACGUCACCUUGAGUUUCAACACCCACCUUCUUAUGGAGUGAAUCCUAGAGGAUUGCUCCCUCUACAGAAUCGCGCAGAGCCAGUGUGGGUUCCGGAGCAGCUAGUGCGACGCUGUCAAAAUGAAGAAGCUGAUCUUGCUGGUGAUGAGCAUGUGUCUGCCCCUGAUGGGUGCGGAACCCAGAUGGGGGAUACUGUCGGUGUUUAAAUUGGACUGCAAAUUUUGAUGUCAAGAUGAAUGAGCUUCACUCGGCGAUUGUCACUGUGAAUUCUACCUGAGUGGAUCCUGGCUUGGCAUCGGGAAAGAAUGGGCUGGGAUAGGUGCCCUCGCUGUGGCCCUUGUUUUGGCAUGCAUGUUGUGUGUAUGGUGUAUGUGUCGGUUGCAGAAUGCCCAGGUCCGCACUGCCGCCAUGGUGGUGCAAGCUUUUGUCACAGUGGAAGCAGGGCAGUCACCUCAGAUUUGGCUUGUUGCCAUGAAGAAUGAACAAUGAAGCCAUCACUCUGCAGGGUUGUAAGGCUAAGCACUGCACAGAGGUUAGUCUGGAAGCUGUUUGACAAUCUCUGGGAGGUAUGUCUGAUUGCAUGAAGGUUGAGUGUCCUAGUGUCCUUCCCCCAAGAAAAAACGGCACGGGAGCAAGUCAGGAUUGCUCUGGGUAACAACCUGAGCCUAAGAGUCAAUCCUGUACAUGGCCCCUAUUUCUGCACACUGGGGAUCAGACCUCUAUCUUCACCCAAGGAGCUUGCUUCAAAAGAAUAUAAAAGGGGGAAUUGUGGGAAGCCAUUCCUGACUCCCUGGCCAGCCCAGACAGAAAUCUGUGCCAGGCAGUAAACAAGCCCAUAUUUGGUGGAUGGCUCACCCUUAAUCCCUGAUUGGCUGAGCAAGCCUGCCUGGUGAGGUGAUGUGACUUGUGGUGAUUGGUUGAGGCAUGGUUGUGGCUUGAGUGGAUAAAAAUCGCUUGUACCCCGAGGUGCGGGGGAUUUGAAGAGAGAAGCUGCCUGAGUAAAGUGCAUUAAGAAGAACCGGUGGUUGCAUUUUCCUUGCUGGUUGAGUUGGACGCAACAGAAGAAGAAGAAAAGAAGAGCAAAGUAGUUUUCAUGAUUGACUAUAGUUGGUAUCAGGGCUCAUUUGAAGCUUCUUUUUGGGAAUUCCCAGAGACAACUGGGAAAGAAUGAUAGAAACAACUUUGAAAACAUCAAUGAAAUCAUCAAAGUUACUAUAAAUAUGCAGGACAGAAAUUGUGUUAGUAAGAUCUCUCUCUCUCUCUCUCUCUCUCUCUCACACACACACACACACACAUCUGUAGUGAGGUUUGGUCUAAUGCUGCUUGUAUUAUGACACUGAGGGACCAUGCCCUUAGUUGGUUUUGAUUGGUAAAUAAAGUUGCCGGCAGCCAAUGGCUGGGCAGGGAAGAGAGACAUGGAACAUUUAGGAUUCCAGGGCAAUGGAUCAAAGGAGAGAGAAGGAAAGUUCCCCCGAAGCUGGGAGAAGGUGGAGGAGAGGAGAAGCUGGCCUGAGAAGGUGCAGGGCAGAGAGCUUAGCCACCAUUAGGAGCCAGUGUGGCCCCAAGAGGGCUGCCAGACUGGUUCUGGGGCAGCAAAGAUGAAAUACAGAUUUUAGUAAUCUUGGGAAUAUUGGAGGGAGGUGGAUUAGCCACGUAGAGGUUAGGAGGUAAACCAGCCAUUGAGCUAUUUCAGGCACGUCAAAAUAUAAAGGCUGAGUGUGUGUGUGUGUGUAUGUGUGUGUGUGUGUGUAUUUCAUUUGGGAACUCAAAACAGUGGGGUGGGUAGUGAGGAGCCCUCACUGCCACCACAGGGAUCAAUUUGCAUACGUAAUUGUGUGUGUGUAUAUAUAUUUUUUCCAGUGGAACUGCCCUUCACAGGUCUUCUUGUGAUUAUAGUAUUAUAUCAUUAUAGUAGAUUUUUUUCUUUAAAGAUUAAAACAUUUUUCCCCUUUUCUGUUCAACAAAGACAACAGCCCUUUGGUUUUUGAUAAAUCUUCCUUUCCUUGUAGCAGGUGGAUUUGCCCCAGGCACUAAGAACUGUGCUUUAAAACAUACAGAAGCACAGGUGUUUGUAUCUGCUGCAUCUUUUUUCUCCUAUUUUCUGCCCUGAAGGCUAGGUUUUCUCUGCUCUGUCAAGCUGAUAAUAUGUGGAAGGGAGAGAAAAGUUCUAACUAAUAGAGUAAUUAGGGAUACAAGCCUUUAAUAACUGAUUAUAGGAAAGUCAUUCCCCACCCUUCAGUGAUUAAUUUAUUCAUUGCUGUCGUGCUGCAUUAGGGUAAAGUAGUCAACUUCUAACUAUUGGCAACUUAAAGCUAUCACAUCUUCUUUCUUUCUCUUUCUCCUUGCUGUAGUGUGCUCAGGCAAUAUGAAAGAAUGAAAUCAGCUGACAGGCAGCUUUGACAGAUGUGCUAGGACCCUGAUGUCACAGGUUUUCACACUAUUUGUAGGAACUGAAAAUUCAGCUACCCUUAUGUAGUGAGAAUUUUGGAAUUUUGGUUUCUUUGAAAAACACAGAAAUAUUAUGUUCUUCAUUUAAUCCCGUGUGCAGCUGACUUUGAUUUGCCUUGUGCUCUCAUGUGUGUGUGAUUUUGCCAGCUGCAGAUAGUUUCUGCAAUUGUGUGACAUUUGGAAUUCUGGGAACUUUUCAGAGGGUAUAUAAAUGCUAGCGCCCUAAGGGGUGGGAGUUGUGGGUUGUUGGUUGGUUGUUGGUUGCUGUUGGUCUUGGAUUGUUAAGUAGUCAUAUACAAAGAUGAAACAAGAAGAAAUUAGAUAGCCUAAUUUUGAAGAUAAAAUUUGUUCCAAGAAGCUCGGCAACUCUAAUCAGCGGGAUAAAGAUAACAUCAUCCCAUUUCUGACCCCCGAGAAAUAAAGAUGCAGGGUUUUCUUUUUUUUUUUCCCCUCUCCUUUUUACUCUCAUAUCUAGUGAGGUUUAUUCAAGUCUUUUCAAGAAAGAAUCAUGUAACAAGUGGGAAUCCAUUUGUUAUUCUCUAAGGUUGAUCUGAGGAUCCAAUGAAGUAAGUUGUGUCAAGUACUUAGUACAUACUAAGCCCUCAGUAGCUAUUAAAUAUACCCACUUCAUGGGAAGAUAAUUUGAUGGAUGCUAGUAGAAUAAAUGAGUAACAUAAUUUAUGAGUAGAUUAUGAAGCCUUGAAGCUCAAAGGGGUGAAAAUAAGAGGAAAUGAAUAAUAAAUCAAAAUAAUAAGGGCCUUUGCUUGAGUGCUUAUCAAUCAAGGUCUAGGUUCUGAGCUAAUUGCUUCUUGUACAUUCUUUCAUUUAAUCCUAUGUAACCUGAUUUUUAUCAGCCUCCUUAAAUCAUGGCUUGUUUGUUUCAAAAGCCUGAGCCCCUCAUACAAAAUUAUCUGAGAACUGUGUGUUCUCCCAAGACCUCCAAGGGCUCACAUAUUCAUGUACCCUUAGGAAUGCCUGGGCCAGCUGAACUCAUGCUCCUCAAAUUGCUUCUGGAAGAUACUGGCUGCCUCCCCCUCCCCCUCCCCCUCCCUCCCCUUCCCCUUCCUCCUCCUCCUCCUCCUCUUCCUCCUCCUCCUCUUCUUCUUUCUUCUUCUUCCCCAGAACACAGGCAUUUGGCACAAAGACUUUUACUGACAGUAGGCACAAUGCAGCAGAAUACUUACAGGUUCACCAAUGCAGCCACACUUAAAGUCCUCUAUUUAUGCUCCCAUGUCCUUCCCAGUUGUUCUGCACCAAGUGCCCUGCUGCAACCAUGUUUCCAUCUCUCUAAUAUUCUCAGCCAUGUCUCUAGUGCCUCCCAUAUCUUCCUGAAAACAGUAGAUUAUUAUGCAAAGAAAUUUAGCUUUUGAACAAAGUCUCCACUCUAGGCUAUUUUCAGUCUGAGGUCAGAAAAAAAUCUUCACUGCUCAUCCUCUUAAAGAUUUAAUGUGUUUGUGUGCACCUAUAUGAAUUCAUAUAUACCAUGUCUUAUGCUGAUGCCUGCAGAGUCCAGAAAGCAGCAGACAGCAGAUCCCCUAGAACUGGAGUUACAAGUCAUUGUAAGCCAUCUGUUGUGGAUAUUAGGAGCAGAGCCUCCAUUCUCUACAAGAACAAUGAGCUUUCUUAGCCACUGAACCAUCUCUCCAGUCUCUCUUCUGCUUUCUUUAAACAAAUGUUACUAAAGAGGUUUCUUUGACCAAUGAGCUAAUUACUUCUGAGAUUCUGUCCCACCCUAUUGAAAACAUGGGGCUGUCAUUUGUGGCAUAACAACUUUUUAUAUAUUAUUUUCCCCUUUUUUUCACAAAUGGGGAAACAGAGUGAAGAGGAUUUGAAAUGUAAUACAAGGUCACAUAGCUAAUAUCAGAUUAUCCAACUGUAGCUUGUCUGACUCCAAAGACUCAUAGGUUGACCACAAAGCAGCUCAAGCAGGUCCAAGCAGUUCUAUUCAUGGACUAAGUGUAACUUAGGAAAUCCUUCUGUGUGAGCUCAGAGGACAGUGAAUUGAUUCACCAAGGCCAAUGACAUUCCAAUGAGUUAAAGUUUAGAAUAACUGUUGGUCUAUAGUUUUGUGUCUGAGACCCUUACAAUGCCAUAGUCCAUCUCUGCUGAAUGACUGCCCUGAUUACUUCAUCUGCUGGUGCUGCUAUCCCUGAAUUACAUUGUGUGGUGUUCAUCUUUGGUAAGCCAUGCUCAGGGAAGACAAAGCAGACAGUCUUUUGCUUAUUGAAUACUAACGUCAUAUGUAAAUCAAUUUCAUCAAUUUGUUUGCCAGUGGUGUCUAAAAUGGCUAGCCAAAUUAUGGAAGCUCCUACAAAAAGUUCUACAACGAGCUAUGAAAAGAAAUGUUCAUUGCUGUCCUAGUUUUGUCUCUGUUGAUACGAUCAAACACUGACCAAACUCAACUUGGAGAGAAAAGAGGUUACCUGACUUAUCAAGGCUAAUUAGGGCAAGGACUCAAGACAGGAACCUGGAGGCAAAAACUGGAGUAGAGAUUGUGGGAGAAUGUUCCCCACUCCCCUGUUCUCAGGUUCAUAUCCUGCUAUCUUUCUUAUACUUCACAGAACUGCCUACAAUGAUCAACAAUUCAGAAAAACCAUAUAGACAUGCCUACAUGCCAAUCUUGUAAAUAAAAUCCCUCAAAUAGUGUUCUGUUCCUUGGUAGCCAUCAUGGUUAUCAGGUCAACUCUUAAAAUAUCACAGUGAUUGUCUGCAGGCCUCAGUACUAAGGUUUCCAUCUCUACCAAGGGGUCUUGGAACAUAUUGAAGAGGAAGCUUAUCAUAGUUCUGAAUAUUACCUGAAGAUGUUUGUGUAUUUUUACUAAGCUAAAAUAUUUUGCUGUCUUUCUCCUCUUCUAGAGCUCUUUGAAAGCCUGCUUUAUCCUGCCUUUAGAGCAGCAGCCACACAAUGCCCUUGAUAAAGACUUGUUGAAUGGCUAAAUUGCAAUAGAAAACCCUUGGGCUAUGAGUAGGUUUAUAAGGAAAUGAGUAACAUCCUAUUGCAAAAAUGUUGUUAGCCUAUCCCUGAACUUAUGCCUUGGCAAAGGGACAUAAGUUUGAUUUGUUUAGAAGAGAUAAAAAGAGGGUAGUAUACUUGUCCAGACUUGAAGGACACUGUCAUAUAUCUGUUUAUAUGUAAAUCUGGCAAGAGUCCAUUUGCACAGUCAUAAUGAAUGUAGAGCCUCAGAUCUUCCCAGGAUUUUUGUUCUAGGCUCAGGACCUGCUAGGCUUUUGAGUCCUGCACAGUAUACAGUGGUGAAAUGAUGCAAAAAUGUAGUUCUAAACUCACUCUGAAACAUGCCACUGGCAUCAAGAUACCCAAUUAAAAGAACCCAGAAGCCUCUGCAGAAGCACGGGAAGCAAAGAUGAGAAGAAGCCUCAUGCUCAGGGCAUCCUUCCUAAAUCUUUGGUGUGGGUUUGCUGUACACAAGGAGUGGAACUAAAUGUAUCGUUAAAGUCCUUUCCAUUGUUACCCUGCUAUGCGUGUGAGCAUGUGCGUGUGUGUGUUAAUAAUGUGGUAAACAGGACUAGAUUGUUAAGGGUAGGCUGACACAAGAAAGAAACCCAGCAAACACAAGAUACCAGUACUGAGGCUGAACAGUGGGAGCCCAGCAGGGCCAGCAGGUGGUGCCAUUGCUGCAUCAUGAUUUUUAGGCCGGAUGGGAAAGGAUGUUUUAAGGAAGCAAAUGAGGCCUUUAGAGUAAGCUUCUAAGCUAUCAUGGACACUACUCAUCUAUCCCCAGAACAUACACGUACCUUUCCCCUAAGCCUUUACCCUCAAAAGCUCAGAGUAAAAUGAUCCUGAGGCCCAGGUGCUGUUUCUCCUCCCUCUAAUGUUUCCAAAGACUCUAUUCCCUGAACCUAUUACUUCCAGACACCACUAACCAGGGCCAGACCCUUAACUGGUCAUUCAUUGUAAAACAUGUUACCAAAUGGAAGCUAACUAGACUUUUAUGUUCAGUCACCAUCUUGCCUUUCUCUGAUCCCCCAAACAGUCACCACAUUUUGGGCAAGGUCGAGCCUUGUCCCUUAGUUUCCCUAAUCCUAGGGAGAAGUUUCCAUUAGCAAAGUUAGACAAAAACUAGAAAUAAAUAGGUUGAAGAUGUGUCUGAUUUUGACAAGAUAAGACUUAAGGAAUACAUUUUUGUUUAACCUCUGACUCCCUAUGCACUUAGGGGUGUUUCUAGAGGCCUCUGAAAGUCCAGCAUCGCCCCUUUCCACUUCUUGUGGCAUGAGGGCAGAUCACCUAGAAUCUGGUGUGAGCAAGUGCUUAUAUGUGGCUGCUGUAAUCUGGGAUUGGUAGCCAGAUACAGAAUAGAGCUCACAUAGUCCUGCCUGGUUGUGCUAUGAGCUGGGUUAGAGGAUGCUCAGAUAAUAUGAAUCCUUUACCCCCUCAUUUGUAUAUUUUGCAUGCAGCUGCUUAUAUGCCUAUCUUCUCAGAAAGAUGUUUCUGAAUACCUAACAUGCCUCACCCCUUUGAAAGAACAUUUCAGCCUGCCCUUCUCCCUACUAUGGAAAGCUUUCAACCUCUCUGCCUCUCAACAUGGAAAGGAACUUUUCAUAAAGUUACAAGUUCUGGGUGCCCUGGCUGGUACCUGUGUCCCUCUCCUAUGGCAGUCUUCUCCUUGGUUGACUUCCCCCAUACUGCCAUACAAUCUUCCCAAGCCUGAUAUGGAAACCAGUCGGUCAGUUAGCACAGUCAGCAUUAUAGGGCCACAUCAAAUAUUUCAUCAUCAAUUUAAUUACAUCAUUUUCACUCAUCACGUUUAUUCAGAAGAGAAUACACCCAAUCCUCUCAUCUCUGGAAAGUUUUGUUCCUAGCCAUCAUUAAAAUCAGGACCCCUGUUCUCCCCUUAACCCCAGGAGAGGAAGCUUAUAGUCUUUGUAGAUAUUCUGAACCUCUGAUCACAAAGGGUUAUAAAAUAGUGAAGGGGUUUGGACUAGGAAAGGCACAGACUGAAAGGAAUCUGCCAGGGGACUGAGGCCACAGCUCCCCCAGGAGUCAGAGGAAGGGGGAAGUCACGUAAUUUAGAGAAGGCCAAGGGCCUCAGAGCAAGAGUAUUCCUUUGAAGAGCUCAGGUCAGGAGGUUUAGCUCAGCUGGGCCUGGUAGCUCAAGCUACUUGGAAGCCUAAAGAAGCUGUGUGAAGCUCUGGGUUCAAACCCCAGCAAUAAAAUAAAACAAAAAACAGAGGCUCAGUUCAAAGUCUAAUUCCACUGUCCUGUCUAGGUUGAACCAAUGAGAUUUCUGUGUGGGCCCAAGGGAUCAGAUUGAGCUGUUGCUCUAAAACAUUGAGCAGACUCCAGACAGAAAGUUGUCCUGGCCUCUGUAGACAGACAUUCAGGAACAGGUGAACAAGAUAGAAGUUGGUGACUAAAUCCACAGUGUCUUGAAGUUAUAAGGGAUGCAUUUUUUAAGGAUGUAUUUUAAAAUAGCACUUUUCUGGCUGUACCCUUGCAAGGGAGCACAUGUCAGUGAAUACCUUGGUUUCCAUAAAGUAGGGGAAGAAGCAGUAAAAAUAGCAAAGUUUCCUGGGAAGAAGUGGUAGCUUAGAAAAGCUAGUCUUCCGGAGAGUUCCCGUGAAGAGGCGAGAGAGGAGAAA